UGCUCGGUAGCUCAGCGGUGGAGCGGGGCACUGUUAAUGCCUAGGUCGUAGGUUCGAUCCCUACCCGAGCAG
rnacentral:tRNA from 1 species